UCUGUUGGUCCAUUUGGUGCUGGUAACUUACACAAGACCCAAAAGGACCAAAAGCUGCUGCCCCUGUUGGUUUGGGGUGCAGGGAACCAGGUCGUGCUCCUGCAACAGUGGGCACGGGUAGGGGGGGAACCAGAGCAGGGAUUCCUGCUGCCGAGUGCAUCCACCCCACAGAGCCCAGGGAAUGUCAGCCCCGGGCCCUGAGGCUGCUCUGCAAGGAUGGGGAAAGAAACCCAAAAGCCAAAUUCUUCAGGCCAAGAGGAACCACUGAACACCUGCAGUGAUCCAGAGGAACAGUGCAAAUGGGGGUCCUGCAGAACCGAGUCAGACCGGAGAACAUCCCCCAAGGUGUGUGUUCUCCUCGCUCUGAGUGUGUUCCUGGGGAUCCUCAGCUUGAGCCUGCCUGGAGCAGUGACUGGUGAGUCCCACCCAGGCACCC